AGAGUUUGAUCAUGGCUCAGGACGAACGCUGGCGGCGUGCCUAAUGCAUGCAAGUCGCACGCUCUGUCUUCGGACCGGGCGUGGCGCACGGCUGAGGAACACGUGGGCACCUGCCCUCCGGUGGGGGAUAACCCCGCGAAAGCGGGGCUAAUCCCGCAUACGCUUGGCGCAAGCUAAGGAAAGUGGCAACGCGCCGGAGGAGGGGCCUGCGGCCCAUCAGGUAGUCGGUGGGGUAACGGCCUACCGAGCCGAUGACGGGUAGCUGGUCUGUGAGGACAACCAGCCAGACUGGGACUGAGACACGGCCCAGACUCCUACGGGAGGCAGCAGCAAGGAAUUUUCCCCAAUGGGCGCAAGCCUGAGGGAGCAACGCCGCGUGCAGGACGACGGCCUUCGGGUUGUAAACUGCUUUUGGGAGGGACGAUAGUGACGGUACCUCCCGAAUAAGCCCCGGCUAACUCUGUGCUAGCCGCCGCGGUAAUAC
rnacentral:rRNA from 1 species